rnacentral:rRNA from 1 species
GAUGAACGCUAGCUACAGGCUUAACACAUGCAAGUCGCGGGGCAGCAUGGGGGUUGCUUGCAAUCCCCGAUGGCGACCGGCGCACGGGUGAGUAACGCGUAUUCAACCUGCCCUUCACCACGGGAUAACCCGGCGAAAGUCGGACUAAUACCGUAUGUUGUCCAUUGACGGCAUCCGAUUUGGACGAAAGGCUUGGCGGUGAGGGAUGGGGAUGCGUCCGAUUAGCCAGACGGCGGGGUAACGGCCCACCGUGGCUACGAUCGGUAGGGGUUCUGAGAGGAAGGUCCCCCACACUGGAACUGAGACACGGUCCAGACUCCUACGGGAGGCAGCAGUGAGGAAUAGUGGUCAAUGGGCGUAAGCCUGAACCAGCCAAGUAGCGUGCAGGAUGACGGCCCUAUGGGUUGUAAACUGCUUUUAUGCGGGGAUAAAGUGGCCCACGUGUGGGCUUUUGCAGGUACCGCAUGAAUAAGGACCGGCUAAUUCCGUG